GGGGGGGGGGAGGGGCAAACGACUUGGCUCGUAAUACGUCGUUGUGGUGACGUCAUUGCAGAGGGCGUGACGAUUAAUACGUCAUUUAAUCAAUGGCAAACUAAAAAAAAAUACUGUUGAUAGAAAGUUGAACGAACCCAAGUUCACUCAGCGCAUCUGUUUCUCCCCUGGUGUUGACCCCUCUCCACUUGUGAGACUAGUGCCUUGCUCAAGGGCAGUGGUAAAGUAUGCACGAAGGGUUGAGAUCUGCACCUUCUGAGUUGGAAGCAGCUGCAGCGCUCCAUAGAAUUAACUUUGGGCUUCAAUUGAGCCGCUGUGCUUUAGUUUAUUAGAAAGUCCAAAAGUUCCCAUUAAUAGUUUGUACGAUGAUUUGUUUGCGGUGUACUCAUGGACGCACGAGUCCUCCAUCACAGGAGUGUUGUCACUAACGGACAGGUGAGAAGUGAGACAGACGUCUCGGGGACAAAUGAGUUUUGUAUCCAUCUGUUCUGUCUCAUCGGAGGAGAUGUGCCGAUUAAAAAAUACGUUUGCUAUCAGAAGAACCUUGGCAGGUCUAAUGGAUCAUAAAAGAGGGGAUGCUUUAGGGCGGGGCUUACUGUGAUUGACAGGUGUUUAAUAGUUCAUAAAACAGGGGAUGCUUUAGGGCGGGGCUUACUGUGAUUGACAGGUCUCUAAUAGAUCAUAAAACAGAGGAUGCUUUAGGGCGGGGCUUACUGUGAUUGACAGGUCUCUAAUAGAUCAUACAACAGGGGAUGCUUUAGGGCGGGGCUUACUGUGAUUGACAGGUCUCUAAUAGAUCAUAAAACAGG
ensembl:lncRNA